CCCUUAGAUGUCCUGGGCCGCACGCGCGCUACACUGAGUGUCUGAGAUACGAGUCUGCCUGGUCCGGCAAGGUCUAGGUAAUCGCUAAAAGACACAUCAUGCUUGGGAUAGAUUAUUGCAAAUAUUAAUCUUGAACGAGGAAUUCCUAGUAAGCGCAAGUCAACAGCUUGCGUUGAUUACGUCCCUGCCCUUUGUACACACCGCCCGUCGCUACUACUGAUUGAGUGCUCAGGUGAAUAAUUCGGACUGCAGCAAUGUUUGGAUCCCGAACGUUGCAGCGGAAAGUUUAGUGAACCUUAUCACUUAGAGGAAGGAGAAGUCGUAACA
rnacentral:rRNA from 1 species